ACUAGAUCAAAGCUCACAAGGGA
rnacentral:miRNA from 1 species